AGGGCUAUAGCUCAGUUAGGU
rnacentral:miRNA from 1 species